GACGUAGGGCGCGAGCGUUGUCCGGAAUUAUUGGGCGUAAAGAGCUCGUAGGCGGUCUGUCGCGUCUGCUGUGAAAACUCGGGGCUUAACCCCGGGCCUGCAGUGGGUACGGGCAGACUAGAGUGCGGUAGGGGAGACUGGAAUUCCUGGUGUAGCGGUGAAAUGCGCAGAUAUCAGGAGGAACACCGGUGGCGAAGGCGGAUCUCUGGGCCAUUACUGACGCUGAGGAGCGAAAGCGUGGGGAGCGAACAGG
rnacentral:rRNA from 1 species